UGGUGUUGAGUGAGGAGCGAUGCUGUGGGAAGAGAUGGUAACCAACUCAUGCCCCCUUUCUGAUGACUAAACAUCUCCCCUUCUCAUCUGGAAGCUUAUUUUAAGAGUAAACUCUCCUUCUUGUUGUGUUUUGUUUGUUUGAAUGGAGAAAACUGAUUUUGUUAUGUUUUCUGGUCUGGUUGAACCCUAGCAUAUCCUUACAUAAUUUUGCUCAGAGUGUUGAGGUGACUGAGAGACGCAUUAAUAGAAAACUGUAGCAUCUCNNNNNNNNNNNNNNNNNNNNNNNNNNNNNNNUGGGGGGACAUAGAUGUCACCCCACUCUGCUCUGAUGUCUAGGGGGAGAGCUGUGGAGGUGGCUCAGUGCCUACACCUGUGGGCUGGUGUGCAUCUCCUCCAUCCUGGCUGGCACUGCUGGGCUCCUCUGGAUGAGAGAAGAAGGCCCAUCCAUUGCUGUCAUACUGCCAGAGAUUUUCCUUUUGUAUGUGAUUGUGAUCACCUUCCUAGUGGCCUCCACAGUGACAUUCCAGCCUACGAAGCUCAUCCAGCUCAAAAGCACAGCAGCACAGCGCACGAUGGGCUAUGCUGCUCCAGGAGGGGUGCUCUUGGUGGUGCUGACGAGCAGCUUCCACAUGAAGAACAUCCACCAACGCCAUGAAGAAGGCUGUGCAGCAUUCAUGGAUGUCACCACCCUCGUGGUCAGCACAGCAGCAGUGUUGGCCCUGCCGAUCCUCGCCAUCUUCCUCUGCUAUCACACAACACAGGGGUGGCUGCAGGAACAUGACCCCAAUUGUGCAGACAAGGAAAGGUCCAUUGAGAUGUCACUGCCCAUCAGCAAGGAUCCUGAUUUAACCUGCUAGACACUGGGGAUGUUUCCUGUGUGGCUGGCUCAACAUGUUAAUGGAUCUCAGUUUCACAGGUCUGAGCCUGUGAUAUUGGCGAUAUAAAGCAAUGAAAUUAAUCAUUUCUGUCUUUUUCUUUAACACAGCACUAGGGAUUUCUAAUGCAUGUUUUCCCAUUUAUUUUCCACUUUAAAACCAGACUCUGAGUUAGAGAAAUGCCUUUAAAACUAGUUACAAGCAUGUCCCUUGCCUGUUUAUGGCAUUAAUGAGGCUGUGUAUGUUUCUGAGUGUGUGUAGGUAACCAACCAUGCCCACCCCAGCCUUUUCCUGCUGCCACACAGGGCCAUGCUUGAUGCUUCCUCUCCACGUGCAGAUGACAUCAGGGUGAUUUGCUUGUGUGCUUCCUGUGCACUUCCUGAAGACCUGUGCAAAUGGCAGCAUCUGUGCCUGUGGAGACCUUCAUGUGCUUUAAAACUAUUUGUUUAAAUGCAAAUCACUCUGUAGGAGCACCGUGCCUGUUGCUGGCUGUUGACAAUGGCUCCUCUGUUCUCUGCUGUGUUUUUCUGCACAGGAGGGAAAAUAUGGAAAAUAUGGGGUGUUUGGGGUGUAGUGUGUAGGCCAAGGUAUCAGUGUUGCUUGUACAGAGGAUUUCCUGUCUCCACUGCAGUGUGGGGAGAGCGUUGUCUGCUGGACCAGACUGCAUCUGUUUCAGGGGUGAGGGUUAAGAAUUCAUUCCUUUUUGCAGCUUUUAAAAUCCCCUCCUUUAGUUCACCCCAAGCAGCAGUAGCUGAGUGCUCACAGUUCUGCAUGUGGGACCCUCGGGGCUGGCCCGAGGGGAAGCAAACACAAAUCAAACCCAUGAUGGGAUUCUGCUGCCCUUUGUAAGGGAAGUAAUCUCCCUGCAACAGCAAACUCUGACCGGCUACAGAUGGCAGCACCACCUCUGAGGGCCAUAGGCCAUGUUUAUCUAUUUGCCCACCUUCUGUCACACUUUCCUGUUGCCCUGAUACUGUGGGUA
rnacentral:lncRNA from 1 species